rnacentral:tRNA from 1 species
UAGCUCAGUUGGUAGAGCACAGGUCUUACAUUCCUAGGAGUCAAGGUUUAAUCCUUG